UUCAAAACGUAAUUCAAUAUUUUAAUUCUAAUAACAAUAUAAAUAUAAUUAAUCUACCAAAUCAUCUCCGCCUACACCGCAAACCCUAAAUCAUUUACACAAAUCUCUCUUUAUCAACUUCAUUCUCUACCGCCUCUUCUUCGCCCGCUCAUCUUCGGUGACUCUACAUGACAAGCAAAGGUGCCCUUGCACGCAAAGACAGGCGCAAUAGGUAGUGCCUAGUGCCAUUACAGUGCGUGUGCAGUGGCGACGGACGCUGCUUGGCUGCUCAUGAAGCAGCAACGACGAGUGGCGUCAUCGCAAAUGAACUGCAAUGCUCUUUGCCGUUUCACACAAACUACGACGGGAAAUGGGGACGUUGUUGCACGCAUGAUGUGAUGAUGACGUCUUCGCCGCUGUGUACGAAGCAGCAACGAUGCGAUGGUGUGGUGUUAGUGUGUACUGAAUGGGUCUUUAUUGGUGUUUUUGUUUGGCAACUCGUUGAUGGAUGUGUGUUGAACUGGUCUUUCUUGAAGUGAUGAAUGAAAUGGUAGUGGCAGUGGUGGCAAAAAUUCUAGUGGUGGUUUCAUUUCCCGAAGAAACGACUGACAAAGAUACAGUGGAUGUAAAGCGUCCAAGGAACUAGAUAUGAUGGCGGAGGUGGGUGUAGCGAAAAUAUAGUUGAUGGAAAUCAUUUUUUGGGUGUUGAUGAAAAUGGUGACGUGGGCAUUAAAAAUGC
rnacentral:lncRNA from 1 species